AGAUUGAACGCUAGCGGCAUGCCUAACACAUGCAAGUCGAACGGUAACAGGCCCUUCGGGGUGCUGACGAGUGGCGGACGGGUGAGUAAUGCGUAGGAAUCUACCCACGAGUGGGGGAUAGCCCGGAGAAAUCCGGAUUAAUACCGCAUAUGCCCUACGGGGUAAAGCGGGGGACCGAAAGGCCUCGCGCAGCAGGAUGAGCCGAUGUCCGAUUAGCUAGUUGGUGGGGUAACGGCCUACCAAGGCGACGAUCGGUAGCUGGUCUGAGAGGAUGAUCAGCCACACUGGGACUGAGACACGGCCCAGACUCCUACGGGAGGCAGC
rnacentral:rRNA from 1 species